CGAUAAGUAUCGAGGAGUUUUGCUUUGUUCCGCACAAUGCAUCAACAAUGCCCAAGAUUUAUAAUCCGAAUCUAGUACAUAGGUAUUGUACACUCCUUCAUCUGUAAAAUAUGAGUAUCAUGAUUUGUUAAAUGAUAGAUUUAUAAAAUAUGAAGCAUGUGUUUUUAACAUCUGUGAUUAUGAAUAUACAUCAUAUAUAACAUAAUAUAAUAUUAAUUUCAUCAAAAACUAAUAAAAGUUUAAAACUUGUGAAUUUGACAAUUUGAAGAUAUCACUUUACUAUUUUCCUCUAAAAAAAAGGAGUAAUCUAUGAGAAGAUAAUUAAAACCCUAUUUUUGGAUGGUUAUCAGUAUCAGCUUUCUGUAUCAGUAUCCUUAAUAUAAUUGAAUGAAAUAUAUAAGGCUAUU